rnacentral:rRNA from 1 species
UACGUAGGGUGCGAGCGUUGUCCGGAAUUAUUGGGCGUAAAGAGCUCGUAGGCGGCUUGUCACGUCGGAUGUGAAAGCCCGGGGCUUAACUCCGGGUCUGCAUUCGAUACGGGCUGGCUAGAGUGUGGUAGGGGAGAUCGGAAUUCCUGGUGUAGCGGUGAAAUGCGCAGAUAUCAGGAGGAACACCGGUGGCGAAGGCGGAUCUCUGGGCCAUUACUGACGCUGAGACGCGAAAGCGUGGGGAGCAAACAGG